rnacentral:rRNA from 1 species
GAUGAACGCUGGCGGCGUGCUUAACACAUGCAAGUCGAGCGAGAAAAGUUCUUCGGAGCUUUUCUAGCGGCGGACGGGUGAGUAACACGUGGGCAACCUGCCUCAUAGAGGGGAAUAGCCUUCCGAAAGGAAGAUUAAUACCGCAUAACAUUGUUGAAAGGCAUCUUUUAACAAUCAAAGGAGCAAUCCGCUAUGAGAUGGGCCUGCGGCGCAUUAGCUAGUUGGUGAGGUAACGGCUCACCAAGGCGACGAUGCGUAGCCGACCUGAGAGGGGGAUCGGCUACAUUGGAACUGAGACACGGUCCAGACGCCUACGGGAGGCAGCAGUGGGGAAUAUUGCACAAUGGGGGAAACCCUGAUGCAGCAACGCCGCGUGAGUGAUGAAGGUCUUCGGAUUGUAAAGCUCUGUCUUUAGGGACGAUAAUGACGGUACCUAAGGAGGAAGCCACGGCUAACUACGUGCCAGCCGCCGCAGUAAAAC